GGACCGUUAGCUCAGUUGGUAGAGCAGGGGACUUUUAAUCCCAAGGCCGCGGGUUCGAAUCCCUCACGGUCCACCA
rnacentral:tRNA from 1 species